rnacentral:tRNA from 1 species
UAUUUAUAUAGUUUAAUAAAAACAUUACAUUUUCAUUGUAAAAAUAAUAUUUUAAUAUUUUUAUAAAUAUAUAAAUAU